GACGAACGCUGGCGGCGCGCCUAACACAUGCAAGUCGAACGAGCGAGAGAGAGCUUGCUUUCUCGAGCGAGUGGCGAACGGGUGAGUAACGCGUGAGGAACCUGCCUCAAAGAGGGGGACAACAGUUGGAAACGACUGCUAAUACCGCAUAAGCCCACGGUGCCGCAUGGCACAGAGGGAAAAGGAGCAAUCCGCUUUGAGAUGGCCUCGCGUCCGAUUAGCUAGUUGGUGAGGUAAUGGCCCACCAAGGCGACGAUCGGUAGCCGGACUGAGAGGUUGAACGGCCACAUUGGGGCUGAGACACGGCCCAGACUCCUACGGGAGGCAGCAGUGGGGAAUAUUGCACAAUGGGGGAAACCCUGAUGCAGCGACGCCGCGUGGAGGAAGAAGGUCUUCGGAUUGUAAACUCCUGUUGUUGGGGAAGAUAAUGACGGUACCCAACAAGGAAGUGACGGCUAACUACGUG
rnacentral:rRNA from 1 species